UGGGGAANAUUGCACAAUGGGCGCAAGCCUGAUGCAGCCAUGCCGCGUGUGUGAAGAAGGCCUUCGGGUUGUAAAGCACUUUCAGCGAGGAGGAAGGGUAGUGUGUUAAUAGCACAUUGCAUUGACGUUACUCGCAGAAGAAGCACCGGCUAACUCCGUGCCAGCAGCCGCGGUAAUACGGAGGGUGCAAGCGUUAAUCGGAAUUACUGGGCGUAAAGCGCACGCAGGCGGUUUGUUAAGUCAGAUGUGAAAUCCCCGCGCUUA
rnacentral:rRNA from 1 species